GAACGCUGGCGGCAGGCCUAACACAUGCAAGUCGAACGGUAACAGGAAACAGCUUGCUGUUUCGCUGACGAGUGGCGGACGGGUGAGUAAUGUCUGGGAAACUGCCUGAUGGAGGGGGAUAACUACUGGAAACGGUAGCUAAUACCGCAUAACGUCGCAAGACCAAAGAGGGGGACCCUCGGGCCUCUUGCCAUCGGAUGUGCCCAGAUGGGAUUAGCUUGUUGGUGGGGUAACGGCUCACCAAGGCGACGAUCCCUAGCUGGUCUGAGAGGAUGACCAGCCACACUGGAACUGAGACACGGUCCAGACUCCUACGGGAGGCAGCAGUGGGGAAUAUUGCACAAUGGGCGCAAGCCUGAUGCAGCCAUGCCGCGUGUAUGAAGAAGGCCUUCGGGUUGUAAAGUACUUUCAGCGGGGAGGAAGGGAGUAAAGUUAAUACCUUUGCUCAUUGACGUUACCCGCAGAAGAAGCACCGGCUAACUCCGUG
rnacentral:rRNA from 1 species